UCUCUCUCUCUGUUUUAGGAAGCUUUGUCUUGAUCUAGACAAUUAGAGGAUUCCUUGGUGUAAUAAUCAGCUGAGGAAAGACGUUGCGUUAUUCGGGAUCGUACGGGUCAAAGCGGAGCCUGCGAGCCGCGCGGGAGCCUCGCUGACCGCUGUGAGCCUCAUAAACCUCUCACAGUUUGAGGAGUAAAUUAAUUAAUCAUCGUUUUCUGCCUCAUCGAGCGCCGCGGGGGCCCCGUCACAAUUAGCCUACGCCGGGCUGAGGGGUUUUCGCCGAGAGAAGCGCUCCGGCCGUCAGGGGAGAGCCGGCUUUGUGAUUACGACAGGCUAAUAAAUAUGUCAGAGGAGCGACGGAACACCUGAGGAAAGAAGAAGAAGACUCCAAGUGUAUAGCACUAAGCGAGGAUUAAACACUGGAAUAAACGAUUUGAGAAGAGAAACACAGUGUACUGGACUGAUAUCGACCUCGUACGCUACCUACACGUCCUCGGCACGCCAGCGGACUCUCGCGCGUUCCCUCGAGUGCGUUCUGACACUGAAGAUUGUCAACACGACUUGAACAUCUGUAGCCGCUGCUUCACAUUUAGACUGCCUUUUCAGGACAGGAAGCCAUUACCGAACCAGCUGAGUGGGCCAAAAAGCUAGCUGUUAGCGUGUAGCCCGAGGCUAAAUGACCCGAGGAUACAGCCUCCGAGGACAGCGCUAUGAAAUAUUUACCCGCCUGUUGUGCCGCCUACUUAGCGCUGUUGUGUCCGUUUGCUCCAGGCGUCUCCUGAUUCGUCUCUUUCACCUCCGUUUUUAUUUCUUAAUCCGUUUCGUAUUUUAGUUUUAGAUUUCCAUCUUACAUAAAUCGUGAUGGGAGGAAGCGAGCACGCUGGUGAUAUUUAUUUAUUUAUUUUUUUCAUUUUAUUACUCUAAAAUUCUAUACAUUUGAAUUAUUUAUAAAGAAAAAUAUAGACUUAUAAAUUAGCAUUUCAUUCAAAGUAUUUUCAUUUAUUUUUUAUGUCAUUAUUCUAAAGAAGUUCUGACUUCUUUAUUUAUUUAUUUAUUUUGAAUGGAAAGUACUUUAAUAAUUUUGUUUGAUUUUUUAUUUAACUUUAUUAUCCUACAUUUUAAAAAGUAU
ensembl:lncRNA